rnacentral:rRNA from 1 species
UGGGGAAUUUUCCGCAAUGGGCGCAAGCCUGACGGAGCAAUACCGCGUGAGGGAGGAAGGCUCUUGGGUCGUAAACCUCUUUUCUCAGGGAAGAACACAAUGACGGUACCUGAGGAAUAAGCAUCGGCUAACUCCGUGCCAGCAGCCGCGGUAAUACGGAGGAUGCAAGCGUUAUCCGGAAUGAUUGGGCGUAAAGCGUCCGUAGGUGGUUUUGUAAGUCUGUGGUUAAAGCGCGAAGCUCAACUUCGUAAGGGCCAUGGAAACUACAUAACUUGAGUGAAGUAGGGGUAGAGGGAAUUCCCAGUGUAGCGGUGAAAUGCGUAGAGAUUGGGAAGAACACCGGUGGCGAAAGCGCUCUACUGGACUUAUACUGACACUGAGGGACGAAAGCUAGGGGAGCGAAAGGGAUUAGAUACCCCUGUAGUC